rnacentral:rRNA from 1 species
CCCCUUCGGGGGGUACACGAGUGGCGCACGGGUGAGUAACACGUGGGUAAUCUACCUUCGGGUCUGGGACAACUCCGGGAAACUGGAGCUAAUACCGGAUGAGACCACGAGGUCCUCGGACUUCGCGGAAAAAGAUGGCCUCUCCUUGGAAGCUAUCGCCUGUAGAUGAGCCCGCGCCCCAUUAGCUAGUUGGUGAGGUAACGGCCCACCAAGGCAACGAUGGGUAGCUGGUCUGAGAGGACGACCAGCCACACUGGAACUGAGACACGGCCCAGACUCCUACGGGAGGCAGCAGUGGGGAAUAUUGGACAAUGGGCGAAAGCCUGAUCCAGCAAUGCCGCGUGAGUGAUGAAGGCCUUAGGGUUGUAAAGCUCUUUUACCCGGGAUGAUAAUGACAGUACCGGGAGAAUAAGCCCCGGCUAACUCCGUGCCAGCAGCCGCGGUAAUACGGAGGGGGCUAGCGUUGUUCGGAAUUACUGGGCGUAAAGCGUACGUAGGCGGCUUUGUAAGUUAGAGGUGAAAGCCCGGAGCUCAACUCCGGAAUUGCCUUUAAGACUGCAUCGCUUGAAUCAUGGAGAGGUGAGUGGAAUUCCGAGUGUAGAGGUGAAAUUCGUAGAUAUUCGGAAGAACACCAGUGGCGAAGGCGACUCACUGGACAUGUAUUGACGCUGAGGUACGAAAGCGUGGGGAGCAAACAGGAUUAGAUACCCUGGUA